GGUUCAGAAAGGAAGCAGAGGAAGGGAAUGACAUAAGUCACCUGACCUGGGAGGUGAACACUCAACUCAGAAUGAGGGACGUUGAACAUGAGGCUUUUACUGAGUUGGCCACCGACCUUAGUCAGGCCAUUAACUCACUUGACUUUACUGCUGAUCUCUCCUACCUAAACCCUGAGGUCUGCGAUGAAGUUGUAAGAGCUCUAAAGAGCAUUUCCCAGAGCCUGGCCUUCCAGC